GGCGUGGCUUCCCCUGGCUCUCUGAGGGAGAGAAACAAGAAACUGGAGCUCUUUUGUGGGCUUGGUGGUAGAAUCCAGAGAAGGGACUUCCCUGGCCGUCCAGUGAUUUGGACUCCGCGCUUCCAUUCCAGGGGGCACAGAUUCGAUCCCGUCAAGGAACUAAGAUCCUGCGUACUAUACGGUGCAGCCAAAAGAGAAGUAGAAGAAAAUCCAAAGAAGAUAAGGGCCUUACCUGCACAUAGCCUCACCACCAAAAUGCCCCUUCCCUGCCAUUCUGAAGGAACUGGAGUCAGGCAUAAAAGCACGUUUCUGCAAGGGCCUAUGGGGAUUUUCCAGAAAGACUCCAUUCAGCUGGAGAAUUCCAUUCCUGGCCCUGCCACCCAGGGCUCAGGCUAAGGAGAGAUGCUCCGGCUCAUUCCGGUUCUGCCCAGUUCUUGCUCCUUGCCUGCCAAACCCACAUCAGGGUGUCCCACACUGUAAUCUCUUGCUGUUUUCUGUGGAGUGUGAGGUGCCUGAGGAUCCAAGGGGUCCCUCAGAGGCCUGACACAGAACAGUGAGGGGCCCUCUCCUGACC
ensembl:lncRNA